CUCUGCAGGUAGUCGGCGGUGGCGGUGGCCUCCUCGCUGUCGUCGAGGGCCAGAGUGCCGAUCCUGGUGGGGGUGGAGAGGC
rnacentral:tRNA from 1 species